AUCACCUUCACCAUGUUCUCUGUUGCUCUGCUGCUGCUGUUUACAGCUGGAUCCUGGGUCCAGUGUGAGCAGCUCACCCAGCCUCCCUCUGUGAACCUACAGCCGGGUCAGCAUCUGACCAUCACCUGUCAGGUCUCCUAUUCUGUUAGUAGCUACUACACAGCCUGGAUCAGACAGCCUGCUGCAGGAACACUGGAGUGGAUCGGGCAUAUAUAUACUUCAAGCUCCGACUACAAAGAGUCACUGAAAAGCAAAUUCCGCAUGAAUGUAGAUUCCUCCAACAACAGAGUGACUCUGACUGGAGAGAACAUGCAGCCUGGAGACUCGGCCGUCUAUUACUGUGCCAGAGACCCACAACAACACAAAACACCAGCAGACCUGAACAAAAACCCACAAACCACCAGAGGUGGAGUCACAGACCAGCAGCCACUGUCAAACAUCUCCACUAUCCACUUCCUCUCAAUCCCUGAAGUCACUGCAGCACCUUCUGCCCUUCUCUCUUCGUCUCUCAACAUCCUCAGAGGAAACAAUGGGUCAGUGGAGCGCUUUCUUUCAUGA